rnacentral:rRNA from 1 species
UGGGGAAUUUUGGACAAUGGGGGCAACCCUGAUCCAGCAAUGCCGCGUGUGUGAAGAAGGCCUUCGGGUUGUAAAGCACUUUUGUCCGGGAAGAAAUCCCCUGCCCUAAUACGGCGGGGGAUGACGGUACCGGAAGAAUAAGCACCGGCUAACUACGUGCCAGCAGCCGCGGUAAUACGUAGGGUGCGAGCGUUAAUCGGAAUUACUGGGCGUAAAGCGUGCGCAGGCGGUGAUGUAAGACCGAUGUGAAAUCCCCGGGCUCAACCUGGGAACUGCAUUGGUGACUGCAUUGCUCGAGUAUGGCAGAGGGGGGUGGAAUUCCACGUGUAGCAGUGAAAUGCGUAGAGAUGUGGAGGAACACCGAUGGCGAAGGCAGCCCCCUGGGCCAAUACUGACGCUCAUGCACGAAAGCGUGGGGAGCAAACAGGAUUAGAUACCCUGGUAGUCCACGCCCUAAACGAUGUCAACUGGUUGUCGGGCCUUCAUUGGCUUGGUAACGUAGCUAACGCGUGAAGUUGACCGCCUGGGGAGUACGGUCGCAAGAUU